rnacentral:rRNA from 1 species
UACGUAGGGAGCAAGCGUUGUCCGGAAUUAUUGGGCGUAAAGCGCGCGUAGGCGGCUUUGUAAGUCCGUUGUGAAAGUCAAAGGCUCAACCUUUGAAAGCCGAUGGAUACUGCGGAGCUAGAGUACGGAAGAGGCGAGUGGAAUUCCUGGUGUAGCGGUGGAAUGCGCAGAUAUCAGGAGGAACACCAAUAGCGAAGGCAGCUCGCUGGGACGUUACUGACACUGAGGCGCGAAAGCGUGGGGAGCAAACAGG